rnacentral:snRNA from 1 species
CCACAGAAUGUGUAUGCAUGUAAGUAUGUAUGCAUGCAUAUGUAUGCACACACAUACACACAUGUGCACGCACAAAAAUGUGCAUGUAUGUGUGAGCAUGUAGGGAUGCAUGCAUGCACAUAAACAUACAUAUCUGUGU